AAAAACACAUUCUCUAAUUUCUCUCCAAACCCAAACAUUCUCCUUCAUUUUUGAGCAAAUUAAAAGCCUCCAAUCACAAAACCUCCAACUACAAAGUUGUUUCACUACUUGAGAGGAUUACAUAGAGCUAAGGAUCACUAGUUAAGGUAGCUAUUUCUUCCCUCUUUUCUCUCAAACCCGUAAACAUGCAUAUAUAUGGGAAAAAUAAUUUUUUGCUAUGUUUUGAGCUUUAAUCUUGCUUGUUUAUCACUACUAUGAUUGUUAUUAAUGUGUAGGAAGUCAAAAGAAACAUUUUCAACUAUUUUUUGUUAUGUUUUUAUGCUUUGGUGCUUUGUUAAUAUUGAAAUUAAAGGAGUUAAUAACUUGAAUUACAAAAAAAUGAAACCAAUCCUCCAAAUUUUUUAAUAAGACUAAAUGUGGUGUGCCAUAAUGUGAAAAUUUGACUUUCUUAUUUUUAUGUGUUUGAAUUAUGUAAUGAGUUGUUUUCAAAUAAAUGAGUUUGAACUGAAAAUAGAAAUUUUAUUAGAGAGUUUAAGUUAGUAAAGUUAAGACUUUUGCAAGUGUGUUUGGUUAUGUUUUUUUUUUUUUUAUAAUUAAAAUGACAACUAGAUGUUAGGUGUUUGGGGACCAAAGUGGUGUAAUUUUAAAAAAUAAACUCAAAGUUGUGAAAUGAGGAUUUUAAAGUAAGUGAGUAAUUGAUAAAUAAAAGAAAUUGAUUAGUUUUCUUGAGUAAUGUAACCUUGAAGCAACUUUUAUAAUUUCCUAUGUUUAUAUAGUUAGCUCUUUGAGUCUCAAAAAUGAAUCGAGAUUGUUGACAGCGAGUUAGCGGUGAGGAGAACUCUGAAUAUUUUAUGUUUAUUGGUUGAAAUUUUUAACGAAAAGAAAUAUGAACAAGAAGGUCAUGACAAAAUUUUUGGAAUAAGUUUUGAAAUAAAGUGGGAAUUGUUGUGGUUUAUUUUAAUUCAAAAGUAUUUGAGUUAUAGAAAUUUUAUGAACUUUAAAUAAGUUAGGAAAAAGUUCUCUUGUGAUUUUAAUAGUGGUAUAAAUUAAAAUUUUGAGUUGUUUAAAGUUUGAAACCAUAUGAGUUGUUGUCCUUGAUUAUUUAAGGUGUUUUAAACUAUAUUUGAAUUUGAAUUUUUUUUUUUUAAAGACAUUGAUGAGUAAAAUGGAUUUUAGAUGAGUGGUAUAUAUAUAUAUAUAUAUAUAUAUAGAAAGAGUUCAAAGUUUUGUUUAAAGGUUGAUUUUAAGUUUACUUUGAUAUUAAGGUGUUAAGGUUUUUAUCUUUUGGGUUUUUGUGAAAACAAGGUUUCCACUUUUAUAGAUUAAACUAAAAUAUUUUAGUUAUUGAUAUUAAAUACUCAUUUUUUAUGAAGAAAUUUAACUUUGAGAAACAAAGUUUCAAACUUCAUGACUUUGAGAAUAGUUCAUAUAAAAAAUAUAUAUAAGGGUUCACAUUUUGUAUAUCAAGAAGGUUUAAAAGACAAAUAUUCACUUUAUGAACAAAGUUUAAAUCUUAAGUUUUGAAGUUAAAAGUUUUAAAUUUUAUAGUAUAGAUGUCAACUUUAUGUUAAAAUUCGAGGUUUAAAAAGUAUUUAGGUAUUUUGGAAAACAAUGAUGGAUUAUAAUUUUUGUUUUUGAUAUGUGAUUUUAUUUGGAAUGAAGAUUUUAGUUGGAGACUUAAAAGAAAACUGUGAACUUGGAAAAUAUUUGGUGUUGAUGUAAAAAUCUGUUUUUUAUGUGAAAGUUUAUAUACAAAGUAUAAUUAAUAAAGAUUAAAGUUUGAAAAAUGUCAAACUGGAAGAAUCAUGAUUUUGAGUAUUUAGAACAUUGGAACUCUUAGUAUUUGAAAUUUUUUUUAUAUAAGAUUUCUUGAUAAAAACCUUCUACUAAUUUUUCCAAUAUUAAAGUGUUGAAAUUUAUGAUGUUGGUGGAUGAUAUAUUCGAAAUUUCGAAUGACUUGAGUAUGUUUUUAUUUGAUUGAUUUUUUUAAGAAAAUAUUUUGUCAUAAGUUGUUAAAAACAAAUAUUUAAGUUGAACUUCAAUAAGUUUGGAAAAAAUAAUUUCAAGAUUUUCAAAGGGUAGCCUAAGUGUUUUAAAAUUCGCUUCCGCCGAAGUACUUAAACCGAAGUCUUCUUGAAGUUAGGGAACCUAAGAGAAAAGUCAAACCUAAUUGAUUUAGAAAGUGGUCGAACCUAGGGUAUAUUUGGGGUUGGUUUAGAAACUUGUAUUGAUUAAGUUAAUUGAUUGAUUUAAGGUACAAGGAAAUUGAGAGGUAUUGUUGGAAUCGUCGGAUAGGUUAUGUUGGCAUAGCGUAAAUUGCUUGUGUAAUAAAGCAUUGUCAAGAUAAGGGCACUUUCUAACGAUAUUACAUAUGCUUGAAUACAUAGUGUGUAUGUAUACAUGUUCUUUGUGCUUGUGGUGAAUAAAGGUACACACGAUUGUUUAUGUAUUUGAUGUCAUUAUGUAUUCUUAACUGAUAACAUAUGUGUUAUGAAUUUUAUUGACGAGAAUAUGUCUUGAGUAUGCUCUGUGAAAAAGUAUUAAAAAUUAUUAGUGUUUAAUGAGUAUUAAAAAUGGAGUCUUUUAAUAACUACAUUUACAUAAUGAUUGAUUUGGAAGAGUCAGAGCAUGCUCAUGCAUUUCAUAGUUAGUGGUGAUCGUGAUGGGCCACAAUGUUAGUGGUGACCGUGAUGGGCCAUUGGGUGGUUCCUUGAGUUGAUUGGUCCACCGUAUCCUUACAAGGAUUUUGGAGUCAUGUAGGUCUGUGAUAGACAACACUCUAAUAAAUUGUGUUGGUCUGUGAUAGGUGACACCUCAGUAAUUAGUACUGGUGUGUGAGACGCAGUACAUUUAUGAUUUACGUCCCUCAAGGAGUGUGAGGAAAUUUCAGAAUCAUGUGCAUUAGCAUAUAAGCAUUGCAUUAUGGUGCUUUGUCACACGAGUUAUGUUUGUUAUAUAAUAAUAUUUAUAUGCAUGCUUGUUUAUCAAUUGAUGUCAUGUUAUGCUUUUGUGCUUUGUAUUUUCAUAUGUAUGCUGCUUUUAGAUUGUGUCGUCUACUAUUAUUGUGGAUUGGGCUUACGCCCCAGGUUCUUAGAGUUUUGAGUCGUGUGAGAAUUGCAACGACGCCGAAGACGUGACAUAGCGAUGAUUUAGAUUGGCAAUCGAAAGCAGUGAGACUUGAUGUCAUCCGUGGACCCUCAGUAUCCAAUCAUCCUCAGUUAGAGUUCAAGAUCAGCUUAGGAUUUUAAUUAAGGAUUUUAUUUAUUCUCCC
rnacentral:lncRNA from 1 species